rnacentral:tRNA from 2 species
GGGGGUGUAGCUCAGUGGCAGAGUGCGUGCUUUACAUGCAUGAGAUCCUGGGUUUGGUCCCCGGCGCCUCCA